UACAGAGAUCUCAAGCGUUGUUCGGAUUCAUUGGGCGUAAAGGGUGCGUAGGUGGCAUGGUAAGUUGAAGGUGAAAUCUCGGAGCUCAACUCCGAAACUGCCUUCAAUACUGCUGUGCUUGAGGACUGUAGAGGAGAAUGGAAUUCACGGUGUAGCAGUGAAAUGCGUAGAUAUCGUGAGGAAGACCAGUGGCGAAGGCGGGGUCUCUGGACAGUAACUGACGCUGAGGAGCGAAAGACGUGGGGAGCGAACAGG
rnacentral:rRNA from 1 species